AGAGUUUGAUCCUGGCUCAGAACGAACGUUAGCGGCGCGCUUAACAUAUGUAAGUUGAAUGAGAAACCACCUUCGGGUGUGAGUAAAGUGGCGCACGGGUGCGUAACACGUGGGUAAUCUACCUUUUGGUGGGGGAUAAUAUUGUGAAAGUGGUGUUAAUAUUGUAUAAGUUUGUUUUGGUGGGGAAAGGUGGUUUUGGUUAUUGCCAGAAGAUGAGCCCGCGUCCCAUUAGCUUGUUGGUGAGGUAAUGGCUCACCAAGGCUCCGACGGGUAGCUGGUCUGAGAGGAUGACCAGCUAUACUGGAAUUGAGAUAUGGUUUAGAUUUUUACGGGAGGCAGCAGCGGGGAAUAUUGCGCAAUGGGCGAAAGCCUGACGCAGCGACGCCGCGUGGGUGAUGAAGGUUUUCGGAUCGUAAAGCCCUGUAGGAGAGGGAAGAAUAACCUGUGAGUUAAUAUCUCAUGGGCCUGAUGGUACCUCUUCAGAAAGCACCGGCUAACUCCGUGUUAGUAGUUGUGGUAAUAUGGAGGGUGCUAACGUUGUUCGGAAUCACUGGGCGUAAAGCGCGUGUAGGCGGCAUGGUUAGUCAGAUGUGAAAGCCCUCGGCUUAACCGAGGAAGUGCAUUUGAAACUGCCAAGCUAGAGUACGGGAGAGGGUUGUAGAAUUUCCGGUGUAGAGGUGAAAUUUGUAGAUAUUGGGAGGAAUACCGGUGGUGAAGGCGGCAGCCUGGACCGAUACUGACGCUGAGACGCGAAAGCGUGGGGAGCAAACAGGAUUAGAUAUUCUGGUAGUUCACGCCGUAAACGCUGGAUACUAGGUGCAGCGGGUAUUGACCCCUGCUGUGCCGUAGCUAACGCGUUAAGUAUCCCGCCUGGGGAGUACGGCCGCAAGGCUAAAACUCAAAGGAAUUGACGGGGGCCCGCACAAGCGGUGGAGCAUGUGGUUUAAUUUGAAGCAAUGUGUAGAAUCUUACCUGGGCUGAAAGCCUACAGAAUGCCCUAGAAAUAGGGAAGUGCCCUUCGGGGAGCUGUAGUUUAGGUGCUGCAUGGCUGUCGUCAGCUCGUGUCGUGAGAUGUUGGGUUAAGUCCCGCAACGAGCGCAACCCUUGUCGUUAGUUGCCAGCACUUCGGGUGGGCACUCUAGCGAGACUGCCGGUGUCAAGCCGGAGGAAGGUGGGGAUGACGUCAAGUCCUCAUGGCCCUUACGUCCAGGGCUACACACGUGCUACAAUGGUAGGUAUAGAGGGUAGUUAAUUUGUGAGGGUGUGUGAAUUUUAAAAAGCCUGUCUCAGUACGGAUUGGAGUCUGUAAUUUGACUCCAUGAAGGCGGAAUUGUUAGUAAUUGCGGAUUAGUAUGCCGCGGUGAAUAUGUUUUUGGGCCUUGUACACACCGCCCGUCACACCAUGGGAGUUGACUACUCCAGAAGUCGUUGUGCUAACCUUCGGGAAGCAGGCGCCCAAGGAGUGGUCGGUAACUGGGGUGAAGUUGAAAUAAGGUA
rnacentral:rRNA from 1 species